CCUGUACCUCUGCAGGAGAAGGAGACAAUAGAAUAGCUAUAUUCAAAGUGAAGUCUAUGUUUCAAAAAAGAAAAGUGAGACCGGUGGAAAUUAUACUCAUAGGAAGUCUCCAUGAAAGACUUUCCUAGUAUGAAUCUAUCCCACUCUGCUACCAACAGUCCUGACACCAACCCCACUGAUAUGUGAAGAAGCAUAGGGCCCCAGUUUCCUUAGGUGUAUCAUCCUUCAUUCAGUGGCCAAGAGAAUAUUGCAGUCCGAGAGAUAAAAGUCCAUGUUUUGAGAUGUAGAGGUGGAAAUGGUCAGACGUAUAUUAACUAGGAAAUUGUAACUUUCAUGCUGUUUAGGAAGGUUGUGUUUUGGACUUUGAUGAACUUUUACUUACUUUUUUCUGCAGGAUUUUGCAUCGGCACCACCUUGCUUCCCCUUUUGUUAUUUUUUCUGUUUGAUUAAAAACAUGCAAAGUCUGUAUGUGUGUUCACAAGUUAAAAUUGUCUUUUCAUCCUACAAGUUAACAAAUUUUUGAUAAAUCUUAAGAUUUAGGUAGCUUAGAAAUGGAGAGGAGAACAGCAAGAAAAUAGACAAGCUAUUGACUCUUCUUGGGGCACUGGUAAAAGAUUUUCAAACAGCUGCUAAAUUUUUGUUUUGUUUUUUAGUUUUAUUUAUCUAACUGAGGAGUGGGUGGUGCUAGAGAGAUACUCCCAUACAGCUUAUGACAAAAUUUGAUCCGAUUUGAUUGAUGGCCCUAAUCCAGAGCGUUCUCACUCCCGAGGCGUAACAUGUCGACGUUUUGUCACGUCCCGCGGCGUUCCUGAGGAACGCGAAAGGAGACCUUCGGCGUUCUUAUGGUACGCGGCGGGUUAUGGCUGGAAUCCAGUGCAAUGACGCUCCCGCGGUAAUAGACGUUCCAGCCCUGUAUUCCAGCCCUAAACCUAACCUUAUCCCUAGCCCUGACCAUAACCUUAUUCCUGACCUUAACCAGGACUUUAAUGAUGUUAAAUAGCGUGUUUCUAAGCGAUUUGAAGAAAAAGAGCGAACAUGUGUAGGUUCAGUCCAGACGGUUCUCAUAUUUCCUCUUUUUCCGAGGUCGUCAUUUAGGAACGUGGUGGGUAGCCGAAAACGUAAUAUGGUGACGAUUUGUCACCUAGCGUAAAAUGUUACGCUUUGGGAGUGAGAAUGGGUUGCCUAAUCAUGACCUUUUGACCUCCCCCCUCCCCCCCGGAAAUGUGUAAUUUGAUCCCCUAAGCGUGACGAGUUGCAUCCGGAGAAGGGAGGGGGAACCCCCCGGUGCAUCCGGAGAAGGGAGGGGGGAAACCUCCGGAAGCGCGGCACCUGUUGUUGGAAAAAAAAGAAAAAGGUUUUUAGAGGGAGGGAGGGGUCUGCGGCAGGGGAGGGUAAUAAAAGCAGAGAGGAGGCCGUCACAAUUUCUAGGCACAGACGCAAGAUGGAUCCUUUCAUUCUGCAGCCCAGCAGCAUUCCUGUGUACUUGGACGGCGAAGAGAUCUGCUCUCCCGAGGCCGCGAGCAUGGGAGGCAACAGCUGGGAAGAUCAGAGAGGGUUCCUGAAGCAUAGCGGUGAUGCAGCAGUUGAUUCUGUGCUGUAUAGAGAGACAGAGCGGCAGAUAGUUUUCCACAAACUCAUAGUUUGAAUUCUGUUUCAAUAUUAUGACAAUUUUCUCUGUAUUUUUUUUUUUUUAUUUUUUUUUACAAUAGCGGAUGUAAUUUUACUUUCUUAAGCUGCACCGGCGCUUGUAAUGGGAAAAAAGAGUGACUUCCUAUUGCCUGUAGAGAACCGUUUCUUUCAUUAGUAUUUUAUUUUCCUAUAAUACAGACGCAGUAAAAAAAAACCUUUAAGAUGAUCUGCCUAGCAACAAAUUGCAUUUUUUAGGCUACACCAUAGCUUGUGAUGAAAAGAAGAACUUUCUAUCCGCUUGUAACCUACAGGCUGCCUACCCCGUAUGUGUAAAAAUGAAUAAAUAUCCCUUAGUGAAUAC
ensembl:lncRNA